ensembl:lncRNA
CAACCUAUGCACAGCAGGGGAGAAGGCAGUGGCGCCCACUCCAGCACUCUUGCCUGGAAAAUCCCAGGGACGGAGGAGUCUGGUGGGCUGCAGUCCAGGAGGUCGCACAGGGUUGGACACGACUGAGCGACUUAGCAGGAGCAGCAGCAUGCACAAGGAGCCUGAUGGGCUGCGCAGGUCCUUGGAGCUGCAGAGAGUUGGACCCGACUGAGCGGCUGAGCACACGCACACCAUACGGCCAGCAGCAUCCUCCUGGCUCCGUCCCCUUUCCCGCUUUUGCCUGACGCUCAGAUCACUCCAGCGAUGGCUCCUGGGAGCCCUUUCAGUCGGUUCUUGCGAUUCCUUUGAUACGCCCCCAUCAUCUU